GGGCAGCCAGAGGGGGAGUGCAGGCCGGGGACUCUUCCUGCACCGGCUCCAGGGACAGGCCUGAACCCAUGGUGCUUCUCCUUCCUUCAGGGGUAUUUUAAACGUAUGGGAUUCUUUCCCAAGCAGUUCCCCCAUUGCCUGGCAGUGGCCUGGAGGUGGCAGUGAGGCCACAGAUGUGCCUCUAGCGGAAUUGUGAGGGUGGAUUCCUCCCCUGCUCACAUGCUGGAACAGGGAUCUGAGCUCAGGAACUUGAAGGAGGGGCUCAUCCAGAGCACUGGCUUCAUGGGACAGUGGCACUGUUGUCCCACUGUCCCCAAAGUUUUGUCUCCCUGACUGGCCUGAAAUUCCACCAUUAGAGUUUUAUUUCUUCGGAUAUUCUUGUAAAAUGUCAGUGCACCUAUUGGAGCUGGCCAGUGAGUCCCUUGCAUCUGGAGGUGAAGAGGCCCCUGAGGAGGGGGGUGGAAAACUCCUAAGGAGAGGCGGGGAGUGUGUGGAGCCUCACCCUUCACCCCUGUGCCAAUCAGAAGGCAGCAGUGAGUCAGCGGGAGGAAACCAGGCCCUGAGGCGCACGUGGCAGGCCCGUCUGCCCGCCUGCCCCUGACUCGGGGGCCUUCCAGGGCCAAGGCUAGGACCAGGCCGUCCUGUCUGGAGACCGGCUCUUACAGACCAAGGAGGUGCCUGCCCUUCUGUGUCCCUGGAGCUGGGCUGUGGCCCGCGGGCUGUGACAGACGACUGCAGCAGCGGGCCGGCCGUGCCCGCCGCUCCUCCUCCUCACCUGCCGCUGGGUCCCCAGAACUGGCAUCUCCUGGGCCUCGCCGACCGGCCUCCACUCCAGGGAGCCGACCCGAAGCAGCUCCGGGCCGGGAAGGGGACCACACCUGCACAGCGGACAGGGGCCCCGGGGGGACGUCCUGGCCUGGCUCCGGGUGGAGACAAGACUCCACCAACUCUGCCAAGCCCAGAGGACUUCCGGGGCAGCCCCCAGGGCGUCCCUACAGAGCCCAGCCAUCUUGGCGGGGAGGGGAGGGCGGGAGGCCAGGUCUGCCGAUGCCUAGCCGCCCCCCAGCCCUGAGCCCCGGGUGGCCCGUGGGGCACAUGGAAGUUUCCUGGGACUGGCCCUUGGAGGGGGGCAGUCUGGCUGCCUGCGGUACCGGAGGAGGGUAGGGGUCCUCUCCUCGCUCCGUCGGGGCACCAGGACCGCGGCUGGCACUCCCCCCGGGCACUGCUGCCUCUCAGAGCUGCCGCCUCCCAACUCCCGCACGGCCCGACCUGUGCCUUUCAUUUCUGUCCUCUCCCAGCGCUCCGCGGUCGGGAACAAAGUCUGCCUCUCACCCAUCGCUAAUUUCUCCUCAUUAAAGGCCUUUUCUGGAUCAGGGAGACGAA